AAUUGGAGACCCGCCUUUUGAGAUCUGGAGAUGGAUUUUGUAGCUUUUUGGAGUUUUCCUCUGCCACCCACCGAUUUGGUUGCUGUUGUUGAACGCAUGUUUAAGGUAGGUGUCCAAUUUGAAUUGCUUUCCCGGUACGUUUUCCCACUAUUACAUUCUUCUGUGUUUAUAUAGAGUGGUUGUGAAUUGUUUUGAUUGGUUGGCUUAGCUUCCGCACGGAUCGCCAACGUGGAU
rnacentral:lncRNA from 1 species